GUAGUUCCACUACUUCCAUUUUCAAUGAUUUAGUUUGGCUAGCCAAGUGGUUUCUUCAAUCCACCACAGGUACACACGAGAGGUCAGUCUGCAGGUUCUGAAGGCAAAAGAAACUGCUCUGGUUUGAUGUGAAGAACCAAGACAUAAGUUGCUGUGGUAAUUGGAAAUAUUCCUCAGCAUUCUCUAUUUCCUUCUUCAUCUCAAUUCUCUUUUGGCCUGUGAAGCUUUUCAGAUCCGAGAUGAAGAUCAGCUAUAAUACGGAGUUUU